CACUAACAGGUUCUCAAGAUCCGUUAUUUUGGAGCCGUUACUUAAAAGUUGCUUUUAAUAAACUUGAUGUCUUAACAUUAAAGCCAGUAUUACGAUACACAGCUCUAAUCUGAAACGUGUUUCUGAAAUCUAAGUUGCAUUCCGGUCUUCAAUCAGAUCAACAAAAAAUCCUAAGUUAUUUAUUUACCUUAAAGUUUUAUGUUAAAGUGCACUUUUUGAAUAAUGUUUCUUUUCUUUGCUUUAAUAAUUUUUUCAGGAUUUUUAAGUAUUCAAGCUUAUAAUUCUUCACCUUACUAAGAUUGUACAGCAUUAUCGAGCUUUAAUGGUUCGAUUGAUGAGAAUGAUGCACUGACGAGGUCAAUUUGGUUUAAUCAGCAUUCUUCUGAAAGACCUUUGCGUUUUUGUUGGAAGAUUUCAGUACCAAAAGAUCACUUCAUUCGUUUAAAGCUUAGCAAUUUAUUUCUUGAUAGCCAGGAUUGUAGCAAUACAUAUUUAGAAAUCCGCACCGACAACGAUGAAGAAUAUAAAUUCUGCAGAAGGGAGACAUCAUUUGUACCUAUAACUGUUCUUUCAGACGUUGAAAUUAAAUACCAUGCUUAUUAUGCAAUGAGGUUUAAUUUAGAUUAUGAAAUAAAUUAACUCUGUUAAACACUACAACAUUUCAAAUCAUGGGUUGCAGAAAACUGUCUCAAUUUCAUGUUUGUCGUCGGAUUGGUUUUCGAAUCCUGCCUAUGCACGUGUUUCAAGAGAUCACAAAAGAUUUUUCCUUCUUCAGCAUUCAUAUUUAUAUUAAAAUCACCCUCAAGACAAUAAU